rnacentral:rRNA from 1 species
AGUGAACGCUGGCGGUAGGCCUAACACAUGCAAGUCGAACGGCAGCACAGUAAGAGCUUGCUCUUACGGGUGGCGAGUGGCGGACGGGUGAGGAAUACAUCGGAAUCUACUUUUUCGUGGGGGAUAACGUAGGGAAACUUACGCUAAUACCGCAUACGACCUACGGGUGAAAGCAGGGGAUCUUCGGACCUUGCGCGAUUGAAUGAGCCGAUGUCGGAUUAGCUAGUUGGCGGGGUAAAGGCCCACCAAGGCGACGAUCCGUAGCUGGUCUGAGAGGAUGAUCAGCCACACUGGAACUGAGACACGGUCCAGACUCCUACGGGAGGCAGCAGUGGGGAAUAUUGGACAAUGGGCGCAAGCCUGAUCCAGACAUACCGCGUGGGUGAAGAAGGCCUUCGAGUUGUAAAGACCUUUUGUUGGGAAAGAAAAGCAGCAGGUUAAUACCCCGCUGUUCUGACGGUACCCAAAGAAUAAGCACCGGCUAACUUCGUG